ensembl:lncRNA
ACCCAGAUGGGUAACUCUAACAGGAAUGGCAGUGCUUUAGGAUUUGAUGUUCACGAAGAAAGUGGAAUUCCUGAGCAAUGCAGAGGAAGGUAAUGGGGAUAAUAAGGCAAAGCAAGGAGAGCAGCUGGGGGAAGUGAGGGAAAGGCUGAAAGGAAAAGAACAGGCAGCAUGCAGGGCACCUUAUAGUGCAGUAAUGAGCUCUAGGAGCACUAUAUUGUGCCACUCUGUGUAGUGGAUAACCAUCUAUGUGUAUACGUUCCCUUUGCCUGUCUGCGCAACCAGCAGCCGCACAGCAAAGGCGGCUUCCGGGGCACUGCUGGAAAUGCCUCGGAGCGGUUCUCGCACCUCCCGACAGCGCUGCGGCUCUGCUGCCACCUGCUGGACGCCGGUCGGUACUGCAGGCACUGCCCCAGCAAGGGUCCCUGGUGUAUUCCAGGCACCGGAGACGUGCAGUGGUUUCUCCUGGGGCUCCUCAGUGUUCUCUAGGCUGCUCUAGAUGCUUCCCAGAGCGUCCUAGAGGCCUCUCAAGAGCCAACCUAUGUGCUCAGAGAAACGCUAGUGUGCUUCCAGAGCUCCUGUAUGUGUUCUCAGGAGGGUUCCAAGUGUGCCCUAGAUGCCUCCAAGAUGCCCCCAGCAUAAUCUGAGGAAUCCUGGAGUACUCCCAGAGCUCCUCAGUGUUCACUAGGAUGCUGUAGAAGUCUCACAUUGUGCCCUAGAGGCUUUCAAGGACACCCCAGUGGACCCCCUCAGCCCCGGCGCUGAGCCAAUCGGAUGCCGCGAUAGGCGCAGGGGUGGCUGAGAGCCAAACCGGUCCGUUCCCGGCACUGAGCGCUCCCCUGAUCUGAGUAGCGAGCGUAAAUCCAUGCAAGUACCACUUGCUUUGGUGCAUGCGCACUGCUGCCGGAGGACCAGUCACCAUAGAGCGGUGGUUUCUCUGUGCAGAGCAGCUAGAAGUCAGACGUCACUUCCGGCUUCCUGUGCACACGCGUCUUACUGCCUGGAGGCUCAAACACCAUAGAAGUUGGCGGACUCGAGGCGCAGAGCGGCUACAUGCAAAUUACGGAUGCGCUGAGCCAAUCGGCGGCCGCGCGGAGGCAGCGAUGAGUUAAAGCGGUACUUUUCAUAGGAGGUGUGGAAGAAAUGUGAGAAAGAGGUGUCUUAGAUGAGAGGAGACGACUGGACUAUGUGGAUCAAGGGAGAAGAGUGAGUUGCUUGCUGCACAUUUUGCUUACGGAGCAUUAGUACAAGCUAUUCAAUUAAAGUAACUUUGGCUAAUUAGAUACUUCUGAAAGACCUCUGUCGCUAGAAGUGUCUUUUCCUUCAUUCACUUGUAGAAUGGGACAUCUAAGCAUCAUGCUUCUUCAUGCUCUGUUUUCAUGAUCAUACACUGUGCUGGUGUUCUUUAUUUGUUUUUAAAUGCAGAAGUGAUGCAGGCAUAAGCUGAUCCUGCACUGGGGUAAAUGUUGAGAUAUUAAGUAACUUAAUGUCUUACCUCUGUUUUCCUGUGGUCAUUUCCUUUUCACUUUGAGUCCCUUGACCCAAGUACAGUAGAAACAGUGAUUAAAAACAAGUGCACCUGCAGAGGCAGCUGCCAUAACUGCACUUGGAUUUGGCAGCAUGGACAGUGCUUCUAAAUGUGAGGGAAGAACAAGCAAUUGGCAUUCCAUGAUCAGUCUGAAACUUUCAGAGAGUCAUAGCAAUCUCCCCCGCUCCUAAAUAUGUACAUCUCGCAUCAGAAAACUCACUACAGUACAGUUACCAGAUGCUGAAUCAGCGUGAAGAAGAAACAGCCACACUGAAUGCAUAGAGGAAAAAUGGGUCACCUACCAUCAGUGAGCAUCAUGGCUCGCUGUCAGCUGAAAAUAUGGUUUGGGGCAUAGACAGUGAGUACAGCCAGAUGUCAUUUUUAAACACUGGCUCACUGUAUGCUGCCAACAAAUAAAAAGUCAUUUGAAUUUGAACUUCAAACUCAAUGGUUUUGGAAAUAAGCAAGGUGAGAACCUGCCUAUUUUGUAUGAGCUCCCUUUUGCUAAGCAUCCCUAGGGCUGCAGUUUUAGAGCCUGAAUGAGAGAAUCCAAAGCACCAGAGGGACAUAUUCUGUUGCAUCCUUAGUUUAUGGAAGUAGGGAGCUGCUCUUCUCUUUUUUUUUUUUGCACAUGGUAUCACUGCUCUGAUACGUAUAAUCAAUGCUAUGAGUUUUUGGAAUACAGUUUGUUUGUAACAGCAGCACAGCUGCUUUCUACUCCAUCUAGUUCCCUGUCAGUAGGCUGCUUCCUUUCAUGAUGGAAUGCACUUGUUGUUUUGAGCACCAGCAAACAGGAAAUUAGAGAAAGUGAACUGGACAAAUUGCAGACACUGUAAUUAUCUUUAUCUUUGAGCUCGUUGCAAACCAGCUGUCCCACCAGUCUGGUGAGAUGGCACAUCUUACAGCCAAGCUGAAAAUGAAGGAUGAAGGAGCACAAUUUGUCAGAGGAGGUGCAGAGAUCUUGGGGGACUCCAACAGUUAGCAGUUGUUUGACCAGCUAUUUUAAAAUUGACAUAGAUACCCAUUAUGAAGUUGAUGGUAACAGGAGGAGGAGCUCACUCAUCUCAUAGCGCUGAUUCUAUGAUUCUGUGUUAUUUGGAAAACAACCAAAACCACACCAAGACUGGACUGAACUCUUCUCUGACAUGAAUGGGCAGCACAGCUUGCAGAGAAUAACGCAGUCACAAAACCAUGGAGCUUCUUCUCUUUUGUGAGCUGAUUGUGCUCAAGAACACACACUAUACUAAUACACCAAGAACUGUCCUAACCAACCCUUCUUUGUCUCAGCUGUUACUUUUACCUUUCACAGUCAUGUCAAUGGAAUAUGUUUUAUAGUUCCAUUUCCUUGUUUUAAUCACCUGCUAGACAGCACAGAUGUCAGCUUGCAUUUCUUGCAUUGCAGAAGUACGAGAAUUGUUCCCCACUUACCUUCUCCAUGUUCACUGACUUAACAGUCUCUUUUUUGUGCCCCUGAUCAUCAUACAGGAUUCUUAGUUCUGAAGUUUCACCGUUAAGAUGGAUGGCCCAUAAUUACUGCAUACAGUGUUCAAGAGAAGGACAUAGGAGGAAAAAUAAAUAUCCAAAACCUAACAUGUAGAAAAGGACCAGUGCUACUCUAUAGCUUGACUUCCAUAGAGCAUGCACUGUUAUCUGAAAAGCGGAAAAUGUAUCCAGAUGGUAUAAUUCUUUUAAAAGAAUGUUUUCCUUUAUUUUAAAAAGAAUAUGACAGACUGUGUUUUAAAGAUUUGCAGCAUAAAUUCUUAAGAGUGGAAAAAAUGUUAUGUUAAUUUGGUCAUAGUUCUAAUGAUGAAGCUAAACAAACUUCUUUUCUCUCCAUCUUCUAUCUACCUGUCCAUGUUUAAUAAUGUAGUUCCUUGUUACCAAAGCACGAGAUCAGCUAUUGGUUAAUAACUUAAUGCUAACUCAAUUCUAAAGAGACUCCAUCCAUGUCAGAUAACCCACCUAGAAGAAAACUUUCCAGAAUAACUUUCUGAAGUAUUGGAGCCCUCGGUAAUUGUAAUUACAAAUGUAGUUCCUCUGACAGACCAAAGUAAACCCUGAACUCAAACAGGAAGGUUCUGACUGCUGUGUUGUAUGACAUCCAACUCUAGUUUGAAAUUUUUCUUGAUCUCCACCCCCCUCAAGAUUCAGAAUUUGGAUUAGUCGGUUUAGACACAGAGCUAGAAAAAUGCCACUUUUGUUAAUGAAAUUAAAAUAGCCCAUAAGCCGAAGAAGUAAGAAAGCAAAGAAUCUUCUUAUAAGGGGAUGGAAAUUGAUGCUAAAUUUACAUUUAUUUCAAUUUCUGAAGAAAAUAAAUACUGUCUUACCAUGUAUUAGGACUUUUGCUUAGUACGAAUUAUUUGUUGCUAUCUAAACAGGUUGAGUUGUGUGUUCUAGAAUACAAAAGUGACUUUGUUGUACAGUUUCAUCGGCCUGAUGAUUCUCUGCUGGAAAUCAGUGGAUGACUCAAAGCAAAGACAAAAGGCAGCCAAGUGUCAGACAGCAAAAGACAACACCGUUUUUCUUUCUUCAUGACAGCUGGGAUGAACAUUUGCAAGAUACGGAUCCAAAUGUUUCUGUACGUAAAACUGUUUGUCACCUGGUGAUCAGCUAUGCCUGUUUGUUACCAUGACCAAACAGUGAGUCCUCAUUUUGAUUCAUCAAGAACUUUGCCCUUUGUUGUGAACUAAAGUACUACUAAAACCUGACAGAGCAAGAACUAAGUUGUUCAAAAGGAUACUGAGUCAUGGUGCAGGAAACACUGAUUAUUAUGCCCAACUUGUUUUCACAUACAUGUGUGCAUGUGCAUAAUAGGUAGAUGUAAGCUCAUUGCUUGCCUUGCAAGGAACUGCUGUAUUUUGUAAGACACAUAGCAAGCAACUUCUCUUAUAUAGCAAGCAUAAUAAGUAAACUUCCCUUUGGUUUCAAUUUCUACAUCCAAAAUAUUUACAGGGACUAUUGAAAUCUGUCUAUCAACUCCUAGGCAAGGCCCUAGACAUUUUUCUAGCUGUUGCGUAAGAAACAACAAAUCUCAGUUUAUGUGGUGCAUGAGAGCUGGCACUGAUUUUCCUAGGAAGCACUGCAACUGUUCUGGUUUGGGCUGCGUUAGAGUUAAUUUUUCAUAGUGAGUGGUAUAUGUCCCUUAAAGAUAAUGCCUUUUCACAGUAUCUGUCUUAUUUUUAAAAGCAUUAAUUAAGAGGAAAGGCAGACAGCAGUAAAAGUAUGUCCACAAUUAACAUAGGAAAAUACUAAGCUCAUGUAAAAUGACUGUAGCGUGCUUUCUGUUGCUUUAUGAUGGAAAACAGAUCUGUACUAUCUGCACACAAAAAGGAGGAAAGCAUUAUUUAAAGUCUCUAAUAGCAUAUUAAGCUGGAGGAAAUUUUAAAUGAUUAGCCUAAUUAGUCUACUUCUUAACAAGGAUCAAGUAAGUUACUAAUGUAGAAAUGAGUAAGGCAGAAGGUUUGUACCUUCUAAGAAGCAUGGCUGCCCUUUAAGCUGCCAUCUGAAUCCACAGUCUCUCCUCUUAGAAUAAGGAAGUUAAGAUCUGGCACUGCUUCAGUUCAAUAAAAAACAAAAUAAUUUGGAUCUUGAUCCCCAAUUUAUCCUGUAGCUAUCUGAGAAAUUCUUUCCUUAUUAACAGAGAAAGAAGGAAGUAACUGUAGAAACUGCUUUAAGGCAGCUGCCUAGAAUUUUUCGUGGUAAUGAGCUCUGUUCAUAGACUUUAAAAAGUUUAAUUAAAUACAGAUGAAUGACAUUUCCUACUUUCGUAAAACUAUAGAUCGGCAUUUGUAAGAGCUCAUGAAGGCAUCCAGUCCUUGUCCUAAUUAGCCACGGUAGUUUAAAGCAAAAAAAAGUAGUGCUGGAGGGGGGGGAGGGGAUCUACUGUUGAUUUAUCAAUUAUGGUAUUUUCUAUUAUACCAAAAUGAUGCAGAAAGGCUUUGAAAUCCAUCAUCCCAAUGCCAGUUUCUGCAGUUAUGAAAAAAAUGCCUAUACUGACAACAAAGUCCAUUUCAUGCUCUUGUAUUCCACUUGACCUUCUAUCUUCUCAGUUUAAGGAUUGUGGCCUGAGGCCACCGCCGUGUCAGUCACCCACAUGUUAACUCUGGCAACAAACCAAGUAUUGAAUUCUUGCAGAAACGCCGAAAAGAUCGUUAGAAAAAAAGAAAAGCUUAUGUGUACAUACAUACUAUGAAGAGCAUUUGAGUGAGCAAACCCAGAAGGUGGGUUUGAGGACGGACCGGGCUGCAAGCUUCCAACCUGCGUAGUACAGAAGGACUCUCAGCAACUGGCCCAAGAGGAAACUGAAGAUGACUUGGUCCUGUGCUGUAGUAACAACACUUCACUGCUUUGGAAAAACAAUAAAAAGAAGAAAGAAAAAAGAAAGCAUUGAGAGUUCCAACACCAUAAAAAGAUAAGAAACAGAAUGUAUUUUGAGUGAAAGUGGAAAAGUCUUGUGUUACGCAACACAGUCAUGCAGAAAUCUCCAAAACAGGUGUGUUCAUAACAGCAUGGCACUGAGCAUGGAUUAAUUCAUUACAGCUGAGAUACUCCUAGGUUCUGAUUGGAAUAGUUUGUGGGUACAUCUUCUCACAGAUGUUCCAGCUCAGAUAUGUUACUGCCUCAGGCCUGCACUUGUACCAUUGGUUCUUGUGGUUUGGCUGAACUGGAGCAAGAGGAACAGAAAGACACAAGGGCUGUUUGCAAAGAAAAACAUAUAGAGGGGGAAAGUAGAAGCAGUUAAACAAAUAAAGAGGUAUUGAAGAGAAGGAAAAUCAAUGAGUCAUAAGUGAACAUGGACGAACUUUCAGAGGAAGUGAUGCAUGCAUGUAGAUGGAUAUUGGAUAUUACAUAGAGGGUAUUUCAAUGCUGGCAUUUGAUUUGAAAGAACAACCAGGCAGGUCCACUUUCUCUCCCUACUAAUUUACAUGAAAUUACUAACUCUCCUCUAAUUUGUAUUAGGACAUUUCAAAGCUCUGCGUGAUUUCCAAAGGCAAUUUGUGCCAAUGGGAAGGUAUACACACAGCAUAUGAAUGAGUACAAGGGAACUUGAUCAAAAUUCCAGUCUCAUGUAUUUUUUCUGAACACUUGCUGCACUCCUUUCAGAUCUGGAAAAUUGCAGGCUGACAUAUCUCUGGAUUUUUUAUGUUGUGCUUCUUUUCUCCUAAGAUCUACGCCCUACUGGUUCUGGGAAACUUGUGACCUCUGCAUUUUUAAUUAGAACUUGUAACAUUUUCCAUAGCAACAUAUUUUGAUGUCGCAAAUACAGAACCUGUCAAAUCAAACAAUUUCAAAGUGCAAAGCUACGGCCUUCUGGUCAAUUGAAGUCCAAGUACAUGAAAACACUGAGAUGCAAGGAAGACUGAAAAUUAUUUGUUGGUUAACUCAUAGCUUUGAUCUUCAUAAUUAAUAAAUCAGUACAGAUAUAAAAGAAUUACAUUGCAUGCUGGAGUGGUUUAGAUGAACUCAGUACUAAUUUCAUCGCACGUGAGAGCAGAUAGAAUCCAUCUGUCUGACUGGUGUGCCAGUACUAACAUGGUACAAAGGAGAGGAUCUAUUUCUAGGAAAUAGUCGAGAUGUGGAACAAACUUCACUCACAUGAUGAGCUGUGUGAGCAGGAAGUGAAGAAAACAGAAAUCCUCUGAAACGAGGCCUGAGCUCAGAUUUCAACAGACCCACAAUAUGAGCAGGAAUAAUAAUAAUGGGUUAAGAAAAGCAGUGUAACUUAGCACUUAAAUAUGUAUAUUAAAAAUAAGUCAUUUAUUUAUGAUACAUGCCCUGCAAGUGCCAAAUAAUACUUCUGUCAAGUCUGAAGAACAUAAACUGAGAAUUUUUGUCAUUCAGAUAUACUUAUCUUUCCUUUUCCUGCUUUAAGCUAAGACUAAUGGCCAAGGAAGUCAUAUUUUCCUGCCAUUACUAAGACUGCACAAGGUAAUUUGCCCCUCUGCAAGGACAUCCACGUGUAACUGUUAGUAACACCAGCAGCCACGAGAUAUGGAUAUGAUCAUCAAGUCUUACUAAAACAAAUGCUGAAUACCAUGAACCUUUCAGGAGGAAAAGGCAAGUGUCAAUGUGGAAUGCGGUAAGAACUUUCUUGUUUCUGGUAGCAUUGGGUAUGUGACUGCUAUCCCUCUUCUUAUUCCAUCUAUUUCCACUUUUUACAAAAAAAAAAAAAAAAAAAAAAAAAAAAAAACACUGGAAUAUUAAGUUAAUAUUAAGUUAAACGUGGUAUGUUUCAACCUUGCAUUGCAGAUAAGGAAUUCCUGGAGUUCCUGAAUCCUGCGUGAUUGCAGGCAGCUCAGCUGAGUGUGCAUAAGGGAAAGGGGAACAAAAAUAUAAGAUUUUUCUGUUUCCUACCAAUUAUCUGAUAUUUCCCCUCUACUGUCUUUGGUGUAAAAGAAAACCAAAGUUCAGCCUUCUAGGAAAUGUAUUCUGGUAACCUGAAAGACUUUAUAAAUAGAGUGCACAAAUAGAUGACAGUACUUCCAUGACAUAGAUUUUCUGCUUUAGAAUGAAAUGCUUCAUUUGAAAAAGCUCCUAAAAUUGUUAGAACAGUAAUUUAAAAAAAAAAAAAAAGUUUAAACUCCACAAUUGAAUACAAAAAACGUUGCUGUGAAGGUUUUGAUUUCCAAGAAAUCCAUUUUAAACGUAUUUACAAAGUUUACAUAGAAGAAUAGAUCUGCUGCUAUCUAUAACAUUCACUUCUGUAGUAGAACAGCUAAUUUGCGACUAUUGGAUGAGAGAUACAGAAAGAGUCACUUUAGUGAAAGAAAAAAAAAACAUAUUAUUUUAAGGACAAAUAGUAAAAAAUGAUUGUUUUGGAGUUUAGAGACACAGAGUUUGAAGGAUUUUGCCCUCCGAUGCAGACUGCUCAUGCUUAUGCUGUAGCAAAGGAGGAGCAUCUUGACUACAAGAGUCUUAGUGGAAGAAAACUGGCAAUGCCUUUAUAAAAAUGUAUUUAAUUUCUGUGUUUGCAGUUUUCCCAGCUUCAUCCCUAGGUCCUGGCCUCAAGGGCCCUAGAGAUGUCACAGUUUUAAACAGUCUUAUAAAUCUAGGAGGGGAAAUGAGCUGUCUCUCAUCUUAAACAGAGAGCCUUGGAGAAUGUCUAUGGGGCUUUACCAAUGGAGCUGCCGAAAACAAAGCUAUGAUUCAGGGGUCUCUGACCUUUCCCAGCCCUCCUCCACCAGUGUCAGCCUGCAGCCUGCUCUUUAAAAGUUUCUGCUCACCCAGGGAGCAAAAUUAGAAAUCUUCUCCAGGGACAAUUUUUCUUCCAUCAAGCCACUCAUCAGCCCACUGAGGCAUGGAAACCAAAAAGGAAAAAGUGAGUUAAAAGAAUGUAUGUCUCUUGGUAAGGAUUUCCCACAGCAGAGUGUAAGUGUCCAGACUACCUCAUCAGCAGAGUCCCAGCCUUUACUAUAGGUCUUGGUAUUCAGUCUGUACUGUAGUGGUAUAGAAAAGUGCCAAGCACUGUGCAGGUGAUGCAUGCAUCAAUACAGCAGAUGUGGAGGUGUGUUUGAACUGCUUAACAUCAGCACUUACCAAAUGUUGAAGACACUCUAGCCCCUACGACAAAUAAAAGCAUUCAUUCAGAUGUGCAUGGCAUUUCAGGAAUGGAAUCAUUAUUAUCUUCUCCGAAAAUGUUUUGUCUUAUGUUUAAUAUAAUAUAAUAUAUAUUGCUUAUUGGAAACAAAUCCUUGUUAGUCUCGUUGUUUGUUUGUUUCCUAAUUGUGGAUCACCACAGAACAGGGUACAGUUCAUAAAUACCUCAAAUAUCUGAAAGGUGAUUGCAGCAGAGCAGGGCUGGUCUCUUCUCACUGGUGGCAGGAUGAGGAGAAAUGGCCUCAGGCUGCACCAGGGGAGGUUUAGGUCGGAUAUCAGGAAGAAUUUCUUUACAGAAAGGGUUGUUAAGCUCUGGAAUGGGCUCCCCAGGGAGGUGUUGAGUCACCAUCCCUGGAUGUGUUUAAAAUCCAUCUGGAUGUGGUGCUCAGGGACAUGAUUUAGUGGAGGGUUGUUAGAGUUUGGGUAGUAUGGUUGGGUCUUGAUUGGACUCAAUGAUCUUUAAGGUCUUUUCCAAGCAAAUUCUAUGAUUUCCGGAGCAAUUCUAUGAUUCUGUCAUUUAAUAUGGAGAAAAUUCAAGUAAACUAAAAAUCAGAUUUAAAAGAUAACCUGGUGCAAUGUACUUUUAUUUAUUAAUUUGUUUAUUUUUAUUCCCCAGGCCUUUUUAAAGUUAACCCUAGAAAACACCCCAUGUUGGCGACUCCUUGUAAUUCAUGUCAAUGUUCUUUCAGCAGCACAGUUGCUGCUUCCACGCCGUGAGCAUCUCCUGUAUUUGCUUUAGAACUGCUUCCUGCUGAUGCGUUAAGCACAGGAAGUGAAAGGUUGGUCCCAAAAUGUCUUCUGAGUGCAAAGGAGAAGCCUGCUGGGGCUGGGGCUGCAUGCAAGUCACAAUACUUUUCCUUGAAUAAUCACCUGAAGCACAACUCUUAGAAACCAUUGUACUGCAGCAAGUAGCUGCUAUUUUUCUGCACCCUUUUUUUUCUGUGCUUUCAGUGGCAGUUGUAGGUAUCUCACAUGGCCAGCUGCUCUCUGUUCACAACUAUAGGUGCUGGUGCCCUGUGUGUCCAUAAAUGAAUGGUUUAAGAGCCUGAUGUAAAUAAGCAGCACAAACACAGGGUGUUCCUCCCCUGCUCUGCCCUUGGAGCUGAAAGGCAGAAUAUUGGAAUGGGUCUGUUGUCGAUUCCAUAACUACCUCCCCCCAUUCAGCUGAAGGAAGGGAAAUAAGAAAAUUGAAAGGUCAGACUUCUGAAGUCAUCUUCGCCACGUGCUUAACAUUUACAUCAUCAAAUUAAUGGAAUGACUGCAACCACAAGCACAAAAGAUAAAGGACAGAAGCUCUUUUUCCUUCGCAGUACAAAUCCUUCUCACAGAACCUCACACUGAAUCUUUUCCCAGCUGUACAGGAUUUACUUCCCAUUCUCUUCCAAGAUGCCAGAAACUCAGCCUCUAGCUAAAGCCUGCUAAGACAACUCUUUUUUGUUUCUCUUGGUGAAGCAGACGCACCGCAUUCUGAACGCUUGCACUUUCCACCAUGAGAAGUGUUCUGGGAGAGAAAGCCCCAAAAGAUCAAAUGUUAUCAUUUCUCAUUAAGUCAGUUUACACCACUGUUGUCAGUCAGUGUAAGGAACAUUAAUAAGUACAAGCUGUGGUAAAUUCCUGGAGGUCGCCUUGCAGUGAUAAGGAAGCCUUGCAGUGAUCUGGAAGCCUACCUGCCUGCCAUGGAGCCCAAAGGCAGUCAUGCCAUCCCAUCCAUCUCCCUGAAGUCAAACUGGGCCCUGAAGUCUGAAGACUGCAAUAUUUCGUGUAGUUCUGCCUACAUACCAAACAUCCUCAGCAUCAAAAAUCCACUUGGCAGGUCUUUGGGCAGGCACUGAGUUUUCAUAUGUAUCAACCCGUCCAUGUAGAAUGAGAGCCUUUUCACCUGCGUGUAACUUGUUAAUGUGAGCAAAUAAAGCAUCUGGGAAGGGCAGGGAAAGGAAGGGGGAAAAGAAUAAGGUCAGAUCUGUAAAGUAAGUCGAUCUCUAAGGAUUAAGCAGUGCUUCUUUGUAGAGAUCCUCCACCAAAAAAAAAAAAAAACCCAGACAAGAUUCAGUGCUCUCAACAUAAACCACUAUGGAGACCAGCUGAACUCUUGGCAGAUAUCACAGGGUACCCCAAAAAGACAUAAAACAUAUGAUAAGGUGCUAAAUGCAACAUUAUCCAUGUAGCAUCUUUUAUUCAGCAUCUACAGUCAUCUGGGGUAGGCAAACUCAGGCCAGGGCAGCAGUAGUUGAGGUUUAUGUCCAAGGAUCAAGAUUAAAUUUAAAUAAGACACACAUUGCUUGCUUUUUUGUUAGCUGAGGCAAAGAGGACAUCACUCAUUCAGUCUGCAAACACUCCCACUGUGACACACUCAGUGCUAAACUGAGAAACGUUCUUAGGAAUGUCAUAGGUGAGGAAAUGAGCAGCAGCAAAUGGUACCUCCGCUUUGAUACCUGGGUUCAUGGAAACUUAUUUGAAGUGAUGUAAUAGGGCACAACCAUUUACCAGGUGUUGCCUAUUGAGAGGGAAAACUAUACAAAGCCACAUCUGACUUUAAACAGGUUCCUGUAAUGCUAAUUUACUUAGAGAUGGCACCUGGACAGGACAUUGUCUUCAGGAAGCUGUAGUGCACAGCCCAAGAAAUACACACAAACAGCUGUAAUUACUAAUAAGAACACACGUUUACAUUUGUAAGUGUUGGAAAGCCUUCAAUUUAGCAUCUCUAUAAAUGCUGGAAAGCUCUUAGAAUAAAUGACCAGAAUCCCUCCUUCCUUGGGAAGCCAGCAAGGGCCCCACCUGACGGCUCUCCCAACGAAGAGUGUUGGAAGCCAUUUUUUGCAGCUGGGGAAGGAAAAUACAAGCUUAGGGGAAGAAUCUAUCACAACUUCCAGCAUGAGAAGGAAAGCAAGAGACAACUUGUCUGAGUCUGCCUUCUUGCAGCAGGAGGGCUACGAAAGUGUUUUUAAUGUCAGUCAAAACCAUUCUCCACGAUGGAUAAAACACAACAGAAGUGGACCAGGUCCAGUUUUGGGGAGUGAUGCUUUCUGACUGUGAUGGUGCUGUGGUGAAUAUUUCACAUCAGUGUCCGCUUUGUAAAAUUCAAGAUCUGAGUAUCUCUCUAUGCUGUUCGCCUUCUAUAGUGGUUUCCAGCGUAGCUUGCUUUCUUCAACAAUCAACAUCACCUACUAUCUGCAGGCACAAAUUAUCUAUUAUUAUUAUUUCUGCAGUUUAACAACACAAAGCAAAAGCAGAAAUAAAAGGAGAGAACAAAAGCAGCUCGUGAAGUCCACAACAUGCAUAAGAUUUGAUAUACAAUGCAUUAACUUCUCCCCAUUCGGUCCCCACGAGGACAGCGGCUCCAGGGCUGUGUGGUCCUAAAGCUUUAAAGUCAUUGAAAUUCUAAUCUUUAAAAAACACUGAAAGAUGAACUUUGACUGUACAAACCUUCAAAUAAAAAUAGCAUUUUUACUAAUGUGCUCUUCCCAAGUGCCUGCUUCUUCCUAGUAGGUUUCCCAUCCUAAUACUGUAUGUUUUUGCAGCUGGCAAUUGACACUGCCAAUGAGCCUUUAUGUUCAAUGUUAUUUAAUAGAUUCCCAUCAGAAAGUUAUUUUUACUUUUCAGUUUCAGUAUCUUCUUGAAGUGUCCUGCAUAUAACGUU